rnacentral:lncRNA from 1 species
UAGAACAAAAUAAAAAUCAAGAUUCUGCCAACCACAAACAAAAUUGUAAGACCCACAAUUGCAAAUCGGAACAAACAAAAAUCCAGAUCCAAGUAUUGUGCAAAAAUUCAGAAUUGUGCAAAACCCCCAAAUCAAAAAUCCAGAUCCAGAUUCUCCGUUAGUAGGGUUCUUCAGGGUGCACCUCGUCUUCUUGUCGGCGGCGCCGCCCUCCUUCGCAAGCUUCUUCUACGGAGGCGGCGACCUAGAGCAAGAGGAAGGUGAGGCAGGCGGAAGGUGAGGGAGAAAGAAGGUGAGAGACGGAUGAAGAGAGAGAGAAAGGAGGGAGGGGGCAGAUCGACGGGCGGUGGUGGUGGAGGAGGCAGAUCGACAUCUUCGGAGGCGGCAGCCUGGAGCAAGAGGAAGGUGAGGCAGGCGGAAGGUGAGGGAGAAAGAAGGUGAGAGACGGAUGAAGAGAGAGAGAAAGGGGGGAGGAGGCAGAUCGACGGGCGGUGGUGGCGGCAGAUUGACGGGCGGUGGAGGCAGAUCGACUGAUUUUGAUUAUUGAUGGAGAGGAGAGGAGAGGAAUCAGAUGGAGAGGAGAGGAAUAAGAUUUUGAUUUCUUUGAAGUCGGUAGAAAUCAUUUAAGAUUAAUUAGUGAUUAGUGAUUAUUUUAAUGCUUAAAUGACCCCCUGAUUUUUUCUAUAAAAGGAAA